rnacentral:snRNA from 1 species
GGCUGUGAGGGCAGUCUGACACCCCAGUGAUCACCAGGGUUAAUUCUGCCAGUCUGGCCAGCUAGGUGGGUGUCCCCUCCCUCCUUCACUGCUCCAUGUGUAUACCCCCAGAUGUGGCACACUUGGCUAGAGAGGACGACCUUCCCCGAUAGAGCCUCCAAACAGUCUCUCC